UAAUUUCGCGGCUUGUUACAUAAUAAUCAUUAAAAUAAUAUUGGCAUG
rfam:Cruoricaptor ignavus strain DSM 25479 genome assembly, contig: Ga0131111_105